CGUCCCUCCUCCCGCUUUGCUGGGAAGCCAGCAGAAGAGACGCUGCGCAGCUAUCGCUCUUGCUCUGCUGGCUUCUCAGCGAAGCGGGAGGAGGGACA